rnacentral:piRNA from 1 species
UGGGUGAUCCUGGCUUCUGCUCUGGGAAA